UACGUAGGGAGCAAGCGUUGUCCGGAAUCAUUGGGCGUAAGAGCGCGUAGGCGGUCCGGUAAGUCGGUUGUGAAAACUGGGGGGCUCAACCCCUCAGACGCCGACCGAUACUGUCGGGCUAGAGUCCGGAAGAGGCGAGUGGAAUUCCUGGUGUAGCGGUGAAAUGCGCAGAUAUCAGGAGGAACACCAAUGGCGAAGGCGGCUCUC
rnacentral:rRNA from 1 species